UACGGUGGCUAUAGCGAAGGGGAAACACCUGUUCCCAUCCCGAACACAGAAGUUAAGCCCUUCAGCGCCGAUGGUACU
rnacentral:rRNA from 1 species